rnacentral:rRNA from 1 species
ACGUACAAGCAGUGGGAGCACAGAGCAAUCUGUGUGACUGCGUACCUUUUGUAUAAUGGGUCAGCGACUUAUAUUCUGUAGCAAGGUUAACCGAAUAGGGGAGCCGAAGGGAAACCGAGUCUUAACUGGGCGUUAAGUUGCAGGGUAUAGACCCGAAACCCGGUGAUCUAGCCAUGGGCAGGUUGAAGGUUGGGUAACACUAACUGGAGGACCGAACCGACUAAUGUUGAAAAAUUAGCGGAUGACUUGUGGCUGGGGGUGAAAGGCCAAUCAAACCGGGAGAUAGCUGGUUCUCCCCGAAAGCUAUUUAGGUAGCGCCUCGUGAAUUCAUCUCCGGGGGUAGAGCACUGUUUCGGCAAGGGGGUCAUCCCGACUUACCAACCCGAUGCAAACUGCGAAUACCGGAGAAUGUUAUCACGGGAGACACACGGCGGGUGCUAACGUCCGUCGUGAAGAGGGAAACAACCCAGACCGCCAGCUAAGGUCCCAAAGUCAUGGUUAAGUGGGAAACGAUGUGGGAAGGCCCAGACAGCCAGGAUGUUGGCUUAGAAGCAGCCAUCAUUUAAAGAAAGCGUAAUAGCUCACUGGUCGAGUCGGCCUGCGCGGAAGAUGUAACGGGGCUAAACCAUGCACCGAAGCUGCGGCAGCGACACUGUGUGUUGUUGGGUAGGGGAGCGU